AGUGAACGCUGGCGGUAGGCCUAACACAUGCAAGUCGAACGGCAGCACAGUAAGAGCUUGCUCUUACGGGUGGCGAGUGGCGGACGGGUGAGGAAUACAUCGGAAUCUACUUUUUCGUGGGGGAUAACGUAGGGAAACUUACGCUAAUACCGCAUACGACCUACGGGUGAAAGCAGGGGAUCUUCGGACCCUGCGCGUUUGAAUGAGCCGAUGUCGGAUUAGCUAGUUGGCGGGGUAAAGGCCCACCAAGGCGACGAUCCGUAGCUGGUCUGAGAGGAUGAUCAGCCACACUGGAACUGAGACACGGUCCAGACUCCUACGGGAGGCAGCAGUGGGGAAUAUUGGACAAUGGGCGCAAGCCUGAUCCAGCCAUACCGCGUGGGUGAAGAAGGCCUUCGGGUUGUAAAGCCCUUUUGUUGGGAAAGAAAAGCAGCAGGUUAAUACCCCGCUGUUCUGACGGUACCCAAAGAAUAAGCACCGGCUAACUUC
rnacentral:rRNA from 1 species